rnacentral:rRNA from 1 species
CCUACGGGUGGCUGCAGUGGGGAAUAUUGGACAAUGGGCGAAAGCCUGAUCCAGCCAUGCCGCGUGUGUGAAGAAGGCCUUCGGGUUGUAAAGCACUUUCAGUGGGGAAGAAAGCCUUGGGGCUAAUACCCUCGAGGAAGGACAUCACCCACAGAAGAAGCACCGGCUAACUCCGUGCCAGCAGCCGCGGUAAUACGGAGGGUGCGAGCGUUAAUCGGAAUUACUGGGCGUAAAGCGCGCGUAGGCGGUCUGAUAAGCCGGUUGUGAAAGCCCCGGGCUCAACCUGGGAACGGCAUCCGGAACUGUCAGGCUAGAGUGCAGGAGAGGAAGGUAGAAUUCCCGGUGUAGCGGUGAAAUGCGUAGAGAUCGGGAGGAAUACCAGUGGCGAAGGCGGCCUGCUGGACUGACACUGACGCUGAGGUGCGAAAGCGUGGGUAGCAAACAGGAUUAGAUACCCCUGUAGUC